UACGUAGGGGCCGAGCGUUGUCCGGAGUUAUUGGGCGUAAAGCGCGCGCAGGCGGCCUCGCGCGCCCGACGUGAAAGCCCCCGGCUCAACUGGGGAGGGUCAUUCGAUACUGAUCGACUCGAAGGCAGGAGAGGGUAGUGGAAUUCCCGGUGUAGUGGUGAAAUGCGUAGAUAUCGGGAGGAACACCAGUGGCGAAGGCGACUACCUGGCCUGUUCUUGACGCUGAGGCGCGAAAGCUAGGGGAGCAAACGGG
rnacentral:rRNA from 1 species